rnacentral:rRNA from 1 species
UUAUAUGGUCAAGAAGAGAAGCGCAAACGGUGGAUGCCUUGGCAGUAAGAGGCGAAGAAGGACGUGGAAUCCUGCGAAAAGCUAUGGGGAGCUGGAAACGAGCGUUGAGCCAUAGAUGUCCGAAUGGGGGAACCCGGCUGCAGCGAUGCGGUCAUUUGCAUUUGAAUACAUAGGAUGCAAAGGCGAACUCGGGGAACUGAAACAUCUAAGUACCCGAAGGAAAAGAAAUCAAGAGAGAUUCUCCAAGUAGCGGCGAGCGAACGGGGAGGAGCCUGGCGUGAUUUAUUAUUGAACUGAGUAGAACAAUUUGGGAAAGUUGGCCGAAGAGGGUGAAAGCCCCGUAUACGAAGGUUUGAUGAGGAACUAGGCACGCGAACAAGUAGGCCGGGACACGUGAAAUCCUGGUUGAAGAUGGGUGGACCAUCAUCCAAGGCUAAAUACUACUUACUGACCGAUAGUGAACCAGUACCGUGAGGGAAAGGUGAAAAGAACCCCGGAGAGGGGAGUGAAAUAGAAUCUGAAACCGUUUGCGUACAAGCAGUGGGAGCAUGGUUUAGGCUGUGUGACUGCGUACCUUUUGUAUAAUGGGUCAGCGAGUUACUUUCAGUGGCGAGGUUAACUGAAUAAGGGAGCCGUAGAGAAAUCGAGUCUGAAUAGGGCGAUAGUCGCUGGGAGUAGACCCGAAACCGGGCGAUCUAGCCAUGUGCAGGAUGAAGGUUGGGUAACACCAACUGGAGGUCCGAACCGGGUAAUGUUGAAAAAUUAUCGGAUGACGUGUGGCUAGGAGUGAAAGGCUAAUCAAGCCCGGAGAUAGCUGGUUCUCCCCGAAAGCUAUUUAGGUAGCGCCUCGUGAAUGAUUACUGGGGGUAGAGCACUGUUUCGGCUAGGGGGCUGUCAUGGCUUACCAAACCGAUGCAAACUCCGAAUACCGGCUAAUUGAAUCACGGGAGACACACGGCGGGUGCUAACGUCCGUCGUGGAGAGGGAAACAACCCAGACCGCCAGCUAAGGUCCCCAAGUACUAGUUAAGUGGGAAACGAUGUGGGAAGGCAUAGACAGCCAGGAGGUUGGCUUAGAAGCAGCCACCCUUUAAAGAAAGCGUAAUAGCUCACUGGUCGAGUCGGCCUGCGCGGAAGAUGUAACGGGGCUAAAACUAGUCACCGAAGCUGCGGAUGUGCGCGAAGGCGCACGUGGUAGGGGAGCGUUCUGUAGGCUGAUGAAGGUGCAUUGAGAAGUGUGCUGGAGGUAUCAGAAGUGCGAAUGCUGACAUGAGUAACGAUAAUGUGGGUGAAAAGCCCACACGCCGGAAGUCCCAGGUUUCCUGCACGACGUUAAUCGGAGCAGGGUGAGUCGGCCCCUAAGGCGAGGCUGAAGAGCGUAGUCGAUGGGAACCAGGUUAAUAUUCCUGGACUUUUUAUAAGUGGUGAAGUGGGGACGAAGAAGGCUAGGUGAGCCAGGCGUUGGUUGUCCUGGUACUUGCAUGUAGGGGGGAAGACUUGGCAAAUCCGGUUUUCCAUAACUCUGAGGUGCGAAGUGGUUCUGACCUUUUGGUACAGAGAAGUCAUUGAUGCCCGGCUUCCAGGAAAAGCUGCUAGCCAUAACUUAUAGAGAACCGUACCGCAAACCGACACAGGUGGACAGGUAGAGAAUACUAAGGCGCUUGAGAGAACUCGGGUGAAGGAACUAGGCAAAAUGGUACCGUAACU